GGCAAGAAUAACCAAAAUAAAAAAUCUCUGGUCACCUCCUAUAACCCUGAUUUUACAAUUUGAAGAAUCUUGAAUGGUCUUUAUGGUGGCACCCUGCUUCCCUAUCAAGCUUCCACCUUGUGCACCUGCCACCAGUAGCCUUGUACAAAUGGAGGUGGGGCCUCCAGGUGGGGCAUGAGCAGAAUCCUUGUCAGCAUCAAGGACCCGUUGAUGAACCUUCAGCAAACCAUCCAUCGCAGGAGGAAUAGGAACAUCCGGUUCUUCCUUAGCGGAUAUCAACACCUAUCAAAAAACAUUUACUUAUUUAGUAACAACAUAUAAUCACAAAACCUUUCUCACUAAUAAGAUCACAUUAAGUAAAAUAUGAGACAAUGAACUUGUAACUUAAUGAUCAGCCGCCCGUUUUUUUCAUCGAGAAAAAACAUUGUUUUUUCAUCAAGAAAAAAACAUUGAUAACUUCCAUAGGAAUGUUUAAUUUAUGUUAAUGUGUGAAUUCUAAAGUACUGCAUGUUUUGCAAUCAUAAAUCCUAUACUGCAAAACAAGCAUAAUUUUUUACAAAUUGUUAAUUUCUCCCUUUAAACUUUAUGUUGAUCAUACAGCCUGUUGUACCAAUGUAUCGCUUCUUCUUUUAUAGUUGUAGCCUAGUCAAAAUAUUAACUAGUAUAGAUCAAAUAUCAUAGAGUAUGCUCUUUGAUUAAAUAAAUAAUAAUUAAUAUAUUUGGAUGUUUUAACCUUGAUCAUACAGUAGAGUCGUAGAGAACAUCAAAGGGACUUAAUCCAAGUUAACAUCUACAAUUCAUUAAUUGAAGAUGUUCUUGAUCCUUAACUUACAUAUACCAUGUUUUACUUUUCAUUUAGUAUUAGUUUCUUAUUCUUGUUUCGAUGUUUUGUUAACUCAUAACUCGUUUGACUAUCAACACGUGGCAAGACAUCAAUCCAUCCAGUUCUGAAGUUACCAGGUAACAUACAUGCUUCUCGAUAACUGUUGACCUGCAAUCUGGAGGCUCUUCUAAAUGGAGCCACUUUGACAAUUGUAAAGUUGCAUAUAUUUCAGAGAACCUGCACGCAUCAUUUAAGUUAUUGGAAUAACGUAAACUUACCUAGAGUUAACCCGACUUUUUGUUAGGUGUUGAUAGUUGUUAUCUUUACUAAUUUCAUGUUUUCUCUUGGCUGUUACACUAUUAGUCUAGUUGAUUAUUAUAUCCACCUUUUGUUACGGUACAUGCUUUUAACAUACCCACUCUAAUUUUCAUUUGUUAACACCAUUAAACGGUGUUAGUAUAUAUCCAUAUAUCACACACAGAUUCAUAGAAUAAAACAAAUCAAUCAACAAAUAAUGUGGAAACCUAAAGAAUCUUAACAAGAAACUUACAGCUCUUUCAUUAGUACCAGGAGGACCAUCAAGAAUUUUAAUGCGAGCGCGUGUUUCUUCACAAGUUUUCUUUAUGUACUCUCCCUUACGGCCAAUAAUGCCACCGACUUUUUGCACGGGAACCAACAUCCUGUAAACAUUCUCUCCAGGCCACCCGGGCCAUUUCUGUUCCACAAGACCUUCGGCAGAAGCAGCAGCAGCGGCAGCACCACCGUCUUCCUCCACCACAGCGCCACCUUGUUCUUCUUCUUCGUUUUCUUGAGUCUUUAGUGCAUCAUCACCGUGUUCUUGUUCAUUUUCGUUAUUGGGAAAUUGAGCUUCAACUGGAAGUGGGUUCUCAGGCAUUGCCUCGAGUUCGUGUACAUUAGCAUUAUCUUCUGACAUGUUCUACAAAAUUAAAC
rnacentral:lncRNA from 1 species